CCGAGUUUACAACUCCCAAACCCCAAUGUGAACGUUACCAAACUGUUGCCUCGGCGGGAACGCCCCGGGCGCGUCGCAGCCCCGGGACCAAGGCGCCCGCCGGAGGACCAACCGAAACUCUUUUUUAUCGCGAGUCCCCCAGCGGACUCCGAAUCUUCUCUUCUGAGCAAACCUCGGGCGCCCCCUGCGGGCGUUUCGAAAAUGAAUCA
rnacentral:misc_RNA from 1 species